AUGCAGCAAUGCAGCAGGCAAGUCGACGAGGACGUCGCCAUUAUCAGUGGGGGAGAAUGUCACGGAUCGCACAUAAGUGAGUGCUAUCGUGAUUCCGUAAGUCGGCGGUGCAGUGGGGCACGUCGACGAGGACGUCGACAUUAUCAGUGGGGGAGAAUGUCACGGGUCGCACUUAGACAAGUGUUACCGUGACUCCGUUGGGACAUCUAUGCGCUUAUGAGGUAGUCCAAGUGUGGACGGGCGAUAGCUUAAGAGCUAGAAUGGUUGGUGUUGGCCAAGUUGCACUUGUGAAGGGUAUUUUGGGUAUUUCCGAAGGUUACGGGAGGAAUCUGAGGAAACCCAAAAUACGGAAUAUGUUCGUGAUGUCGAGACGCAUGAAACGCAACUGACGGUUUGCCAUUCGGAGUUCGUAUGAAGAAGUUAUGCCCAAUUAUGACUCCUCGUGCAUAGGUGAUGUUCCCUCCUGGCAGAAGGCUAAAUGCAUAAAAUGCUAUAUAGGGGGUGACAUGGUGUCAUGCUCUCCACCACCCCUGGUGCUUACACCCUUGUGGCACUAAGCGAGCAUCCUUAUGACAUUGGAGAUAGUCAUAAGGGCGGGCAUAAGAUUGUUGAAGGAUAAUCUGUGCCUCCGAGGGAAAGGAAUUCCCGAGGACAGUACGAACACGCAGGGCCGUUCGUAUUGCGCAUCGUUGGAAAGAGUGAGGUCAACAUAUGGCAUUCGCUAUGCCAUCGGCUAGCGAGACAUAUGACAAUACUCGAUGGACUUGGCUUGGGUUCGGCCUUGUCUAAUAUUGAAGGAAGAUAUUCGGAUGCCGGUACGCAUGGGUUGCGACCCCAUGCAAUGCAUAGAUGGUUAUGUGGGACAUUCGGAAUAUAUAUGUCGCCAAGGCUUGGGCGACAUGCAAGUAUAACAGCUUGCGUGUAUAGCUUGAGGAUGUGGGCUAUCGUGAACGCUAAAGGAAUGACCGACAGAAGUGUGGGUAAACCGAUGGUGUGUUAGAUCGCUAUGUCUUGA
rnacentral:lncRNA from 1 species